AGCGUUUCCGACGGCGGUCACUCCGUCGCCCCUUGGAAGCGCUGGUCUGGCCGGGCGGCCGCAGGCGGGAGGAAGUGGCCGGUGACUCAGUGAGCGCCGGCUUCCUCUCUGACUCAGGAUCGCAUCGCCUCUUACAGGGCUGCCAGGGGCCCGUGCGGCUGCAGCGGGAAGCUUUGAACUUGGAGGCAAACACGGAGGCCCUUUCCGGUCGACUCUCAACCACUGAGCCACGCCGGCCGGGCCAGCGCUGUAUUUAUAAGCUGGCAGAUAAGAAAAGACAGCGCCAUCUGCUUCCAAACUCGUGCCUUCUCUCCGCGUGCUUUGAGAUUUCAUAAAUGCCGGUGACCAGGCGUGUUUUCCAAUGACCCGGUGACUUCCAGCCGCUCCAGCCAAUGGGGACGGAGCCGUGAUGAUACAAGGCCUCGCGGGGCAUGACUCAUCCCUGGAGACAUGACCUGCGUGGCCGUUGUGAAGGGCCUGCUCCUGUCAACAUCGAUGGCCAGAAACCAUCCCAGGAGCUCCCGAGCGAUGCGCGUGCAGUGGCUCAGUGCCCGUGUGUGACUCACAGUUGGUGUGUGACCGGCCCGACAGGGCAGAGAACAUUUGGUCUGUAAUGGAGAGGACACCCAAGGCCACGCUGGGCUCCGGGUUCCGGCUUCUUAACAAGCGUGGCUUUGCCAAGAAGGAAACGCUCCAAAGCGGUCUCCAUCCCUGAGGGACUAAGGCAGGCACGGAGGGUACAGGGCGAAAGGGCCUCUCCCCAUUGGGAGCCCAUGUCUUCACACCUGCUUGUCCGGGGGGCACCGCAACGCUCCUGUUCCCCGUGGGCCCUGUG